rnacentral:rRNA from 1 species
UUAUUAAGGAAAAGGUACUAUUGCACUAGAUCUCAUCAAAACUUCACAAAUAAUCAUGUGUGGGCGAGAAUAGUACUAAGAUGGAUGACCUCUUGAGAAGUUUUCGUAUUAC